rnacentral:rRNA from 1 species
UACGUAGGGGGCAAGCGUUGUCCGGAUUUACUGGGUGUAAAGGGUGCUCAGGUGGUUAUGCAAGUCAGGGGUGAAAUCCUAGGGCUUAACUCUGGAACUGCCUUUGAUACUGCAUAGCUUGUGUACGGAAGAGGCUGAUGGAAUUCCUGGUGUAGCAGUGAAAUGCGUAGAUAUCAGGAAGAACACCAGUGGCGAAGGCGGUCAGCUGGUCCUUUACAGACACUCAAGCACGAAAGCGUGGGGAGCAAACAGG